ensembl:antisense
CCGUCACUGGCACAGGCUCUGUGGUUGAGAGAGGAGCGGAUUUUGCGGGUCUGCUGUGGUGUUCAGUAUGCAAUCAACAGUAAAUUUCACAUCAUGAAAUAAAUGUAUUUUUCCGAGUGAAUCUGAAAGUUCUUUGAUAAUUUGAAGAACAGUGACACAGUGGUGACUCCACCUAUGUCUAGCAACUUCUCUAUGGAAAACUUGAAAUAGCAUUUGGUGAGAUGGCUUAGCAGUAGCCCACUUUUCACUUUUGGACAAGAAAAAUCCAUUUCUACUGGAGCUGCUUUGCACUUGAUGCAAUCCUGGCCUCAUAAGAGAGGUCUGGCAAGUGGAGCUGGAGGUCUCAGAUAGAGGAGAACAUGAACUCGGUGGUGCCACCAUUCCUCAGGUCACUGGGUUCCAGAUACCCACAAGAAGAUCCAGAAGAUUGAAAGCUUUGAAGAAACAGCCAACCACUUUUCAC